CGGUGGAGGUUUUGGAGAUUCCUUGAUGAAGGUGACCCACUUCUCUUUCUCAUGGACAAGAGGAUGCCCGGGAAAUAAGGAAGCUACAUGCCCAUCGGGACCCAUACCCAAUAGCAUCACAUCAAAUUUUGGAAAUCCAGUAGCAUCGGAUAUGUCUACAAUCUUGCUCUUAACCAAGUGUCUUAGACAAGUCUCGUAAUCAUCUGCCGCACCCUCUGCUGAUAGUGCAUCGUUUAUCGCAUACACAUUGCCACUAGGAAUAGGUAUCUGCCCAAGAGAAAGAAGAGGUGAGCCUAAAAGCUCAGUAAAUAGAAUUAAGACGUGAAAGUUAAGAUGUAAGGAGAAGAAUGAUGAAGUAAGAGCUAAUUCAUCAUUCUUAAUAAGAUCAAACCACUUAGGCAGUGUCAGAUAUGUCUACAAUCUUGGUCUUAACCAAGUGUCUUAGACAAGUCUCAUAAUCAUCUGCCGCACCCUCUGCUGAUAAUGCAUCGUUUAUGGCAUACACAUUGCCACUAGGAAUAGGUACCUGUCCAAGAGAACAAGAAGUGAGGCUAAAAGCAUAGUAAAUAGAAUUAAGAUGUGAAAUGAGAGAAGUGAUGAGAUGAGUUUAAAAGUUAAGUAGGUAGAAGUAAGAUAUAAAAGGAAAAUUGAUGAAGUAACAGCUCAUGCCUCAUUCUUAAUAAGAUCAGACCGUUUAGGCAGUUUUGUAUGUGAUGCAAGUAAUAUGAACAAUUUGUAAUCUAAAAG
rnacentral:lncRNA from 1 species